GCCAUAAUGGCGCAGUGGUAACGCGUAGCACUUGUAAUGCUAAGAUCCUAAGUUCAAUUCUUAGUUGUGGCA
rnacentral:tRNA from 1 species